rnacentral:rRNA from 1 species
UACAGAGGGUGCGAGCGUUGUCCGGAAUCACUGGGCGUAAAGGGCGCGUAGGCGGCUCAGUAAGCGUGCGGUGAAAGCCCGGGGCUCAACCCCGGGUCGGCCGUGCGAACUGCAGAGCUGGAGCACUGUAGAGGCAGGUGGAAUUCCGGGUGUAGCGGUGGAAUGCGUAGAGAUCCGGAAGAACGCCGGUGGCGAAGGCGGCCUGCUGGGCAGUGGCUGACGCUGAGGCGCGACAGCGUGGGGAGCAAACAGG